rnacentral:rRNA from 1 species
GACGAACGCUGGCGGCGUGCUUAACACAUGCAAGUCGAACGGAAAGGCCCUGCUUUUGUGGGGUGCUCGAGUGGCGAACGGGUGAGUAACACGUGAGUAGCCUGCCCUUGACUUUGGGAUAACUUCAGGAAACUGGGGCUAAUACCAGAUAGGAGCUCCUGCUGCAUGGUGGGGGUUGGAAAGUUUCGGCGGUUGGGGAUGGACUCGCGGCUUAUCAGCUUGUUGGUGGGGUAGUGGCUUACCAAGGCUUUGACGGGUAGCCGGCCUGAGAGGGUGACCGGCCACAUUGGGACUGAGAUACGGCCCAGACUCCUACGGGAGGCAGCAGUGGGGAAUAUUGCACAAUGGGCGGAAGCCUGAUGCAGCAACGCCGCGUGCGGGAUGACGGCCUUCGGGUUGUAAACCGCUUUCGCCUGUGACGAAGCGUGAGUGACGGUAAUGGGUAAAGAAGCACCGGCUAACUACGUG